GGAUGAAUAUGUAUGACAAGUAAUCUUGGACUGUCAGCUUCCAAAACCAUAAGCUAAAUAACCUAUUUUUUUUCUUUUUAAAGAACCCAAACUCAGGCAUUUUGUUCUCACAACAGAAAAGGUUUAUUCUAGGGAAACUGAGGGCAUAUUUGUCAAUAGUUGAUGUUUCUGCCGGUGUUUGAUCACCUCUCAAUUCUGAGGGACCUGAGCUCACAGGACUGGAGAGUGAAGGUACACAGAGAGGGGGUUGCCUCAACACUGCAGAACAGAGCCAAGGAGCCAUGGAAUGCCUGUCAGUGGGCAUAGAGAUGGACAUCAAUGACUCUACUGUCUUAUGGGAUGGUGGAUGGAAGCCAGUGAAGAUCCGGAGGCUGGGAAAGAAGGGCUGAGGGAGCACUUAAAAUCUGGAGCACCUUUGGGACCUGCCUUCCCCCCUCCCCUGGUCCUGCUUCUUGUGGUGCCAAGGUUAACUGGAUACGGAAGACCUUCAGUCACUAAGUGAAACAGAAACUAUCGGAAAGCACGGGCCAUAUUGGUGAAUACUUGGCGAUCCGGAUAAUUCCCAGGGUUGGUUGAUAAGGUCAGCAAUAAAAAGCC